AUUGAACGCUGGCGGAAUGCUUUACACAUGCAAGUCGAGCGGCAACGCGGGGGCAACCCUGGCGGCGAGCGGUGAACGGGUGAGUAACAUAUCGGAACGUACCCCGUCGUGGGGGAUAACACAGCGAAAGCUGUGCUAAUACCGCAUACGACCUGAGGGUGAAAGCGGGGGAUCGCAAGGCCUCGCGCGAUGGGAGCGGCCGAUAUCGGAUUAGCUAGUUGGUGAGGUAAAGGCUCACCAAGGCGACGAUCCGUAGCUGGUCGGAGAGGACGACCAGCCACACUGGAACUGAGACACGGUCCAGACUCCUACGGGAGGCAGCAGUGGGGAAUUUUGGACAAUGGGGGCAACCCUGAUCCAGCCAUUCCGCGUGAGUGAAGAAGGCCUUCGGGUUGUAAAGCUCUUUCAGCAGGAACGAAACGGUGAGGGUUAAUACCCUUUACUAAUGACGGUACCUGAAGAAGAAGCACCGGCUAACUACGUGCCAGCCGCCGCCGUAACAC
rnacentral:rRNA from 1 species